rnacentral:piRNA from 1 species
UGGGAGUGCUGAGAGCCAAAUCCACUGA